rnacentral:rRNA from 1 species
UACGAAGGGGGCUAGCGUUGCUCGGAAUUACUGGGCGUAAAGCGCACGUAGGCGGUUUCUUAAGUCGGGGGUGAAAUCCUGGAGCUCAACUCCAGAACUGCCUUCGAUACUGGAAGACUAUGAGUCCGGGAGAGGUGAGUGGAACUGCGAGUGUAGAGGUGAAAUUCGUAGAUAUUCGCAAGAACACCAGUGGCGAAGGCGGCUCACUGGCCCGGUACUGACGCUGAGGUGCGAAAGCGUGGGGAGCAAACAGGG